GAACAUCGCUCCAGUGAUGUUUAUAAUCAGAAACUCGCGACAAUGCCGUGAACCAGGCCAUAAGUAUACACAGAAGUUGCAGGCAGUGUUUCAACAGCUUGCUACCCUUCCAUGUCAUCCUUAAUUAGGAAAGCUGGGAAGUGGCAUCGACAGAAAUGUCUCGAAAGAGCUUAUUGGAAAUAUUUCAGGAUAAACAGCGUUGUAUGGUUAUUCGUCGUUGCAAAUAAAGAGAGUAAAGAAGAUAGACGAUUGGAUGCUGCGUAAACGAUGGACAGGAGUUGAAAAGAGUGGUGACAGUAACGUCAUUAUUCUCAAAAAAAAAAAAAAACAGAAUGAAGUAAAAAUAAUUGUCGAUUUUGCGUUUUCAUUUGUAUUCAUGUAUUCGUAAUUUUGUUGGAACUUUAGUCGAUCUAUUAUCAUAUAAAUUGUUUUCAAGUAAAAAAAUUGUAAGGACGCCGGAAAGAUAAAAAUAUAUAGAAUUCCACUUAACAAAAAUUACGAUAGCUUCGAA